rnacentral:lncRNA from 1 species
GUAACUCCCAUACUCUUAAGUUCAUCCUUGUACUCAUGAAUGUCCCUUCCAUACCGAGCCUCACUAUCAUCAACGAAAGGCAACAGAGAGAUUGAAGAGAUAGAUUCCCAGUCUGAACCAAAGAGUAUACAAUCUUCAGGUACUUUAUCAACACCAAUUCGAGUUGGCAGCCACUUGACCUUUUGAAAGCAGCUCAUAAGAUCUGAAGGAAACUUAAUUCUGGCUGUCUUAUCUUCAGGUACUCUAUCAACACCAAUUCGAGUUGGCAGCCACUUGACCUCUUGAAAGCAGCUCUUAAGCUCUGAAGGAAAUUUAAAGCUGGCUGCCUUCAACUUUCUGUAGCAUGCAAGAAGAGAAAGGGCACUAUCCUUGUUUAAGGCACCCUUCGCUGUCUGCUGCCUAAAAAGAGAAGCAAAAGCUUUAGUUGCCUCCUCAAAAUUAACAACCACCCCUAGUUUCUGCAACUCAGUUUUAUAUGACAAGAUAUCGCUUCCAUAGUAGCUUGUAUCAAUAAGAGGGAAACUGCCAAAAACCUGCAGCAGGCAGCCCCAUAGAGAAUCAAGCAAAAAACAUUCAGCCGGAGAUUUGCACCCCAUACGGUCUUCACACAUUUGCUAUCAAGUCCCCUGAAUAUUUUAUCAGAUGACACCAAAUG